UACGAAGGGGGCUAGCGUUGCUCGGAAUCACUGGGCGUAAAGGGUGCGUAGGCGGGUCUUUAAGUCAGGGGUGAAAUCCUGGAGCUCAACUCCAGAACUGCCUUUGAUACUGAGGAUCUUGAGUACGGGAGAGGUGAGUGGAACUGCGAGUGUAGAGGUGAAAUUCGUAGAUAUUCGCAAGAACACCAGUGGCGAAGGCGGCUCACUAGCCCGUUACUGACGCUGAGGCACGAAAGCGUGGGGAGCAAACAGG
rnacentral:rRNA from 1 species